GUGGGGAAUAUUGCGCAAUGGGCGAGAGCCUGAACCAGCCAAGUCGCGUGAAGGAAGAAGGAUCUAUGGUUCGUAAACUUCUUUUGCAGGGGAAUAAAGUGCAGGACGUGUCCUGUUUUGUAUGUACCCUGAGAAUAAGGAUCGGCUAACUCCGUGCCAGCAGCCGCGGUAAUACGGAGGAUCCGAGCGUUAUCCGGAUUUAUUGGGUUUAAAGGGUGCGUAGGUGGUUUGAUAAGUCAGCGGUGAAAGUUUGUAGCUUAACUGUAAAAAUGCCGUUGAAACUGUCGGACUUGAGUGUAAAUGAGGUAGGCGGAAUGCGUGGUGUAGCGGUGAAAUGCAUAGAUAUCACGCAGAACUCCGAUUGCGAAGGCAGCUUACUAAGCUACAACUGACACUGAAGCACGAAAGCGUGGGGAUCAAACAGGAUUAGAUACCCCAGUAGUCC
rnacentral:rRNA from 1 species